rnacentral:lncRNA from 1 species
UGGCCUAUAAGACUUGGUCUUAGUUAGGCAUUUCCAAAUGCGCAAAUGUGUCAAAUUAGCCUUUUUACCCGUCUAAAGCUCAUAAGGGGUCUUUAUAGUUGCUUUAGUUAGAAUUCUGUUGAGUAAAUAUGUUAUGGUCUUAAUGCUUCUCCCUAGAGUGACUCAGGUAAGAUAGAAUGACUCAUCGUACUCCUCACAAUGUCAUUAAGUGUUCUAUUUCGCCUUUCAGCAAUGCCA